rnacentral:rRNA from 1 species
AGUGAACGCUGGCGGUAGGCCUAACACAUGCAAGUCGAACGGCAGCACAGUAAGAGCUUGCUCUUACGGGUGGCGAGUGGCGGACGGGUGAGGAAUACAUCGGAAUCUACUUUUUCGUGGGGGAUAACGUAGGGAAACUUACGCUAAUACCGCAUACGACCUACGGGUGAAAGCAGGGGAUCUUCGGACCUUGCGCGAUUGAAUGAGCCGAUGUCGGAUUAGCUAGUUGGCGGGGUAAAGGCCCACCAAGGCGACGAUCCGUAGCUGGUCUGAGAGGAUGAUCAGCCACACUGGAACUGAGACGCGGACCAGACUCCUACGGGAGGCAGCAGUGGGGAAUAUUGGACAAUGGGCGCAAGCCUGAUCCAGCCAGACCGCGUGGGUGAAGAAGGCCUUCGGGUUGUAAAGCCCUUUUGUUGGGAAAGAAAAGCAGCAGGUUAAUACCCCGCUGUUCUGACGGUACCCAAAGAAUAAGCACCGGCUAACUUCGUG